GGCCCAACCAGCAUCGCUCACUGGCUCGGCUCUGGCCAGCAGCAGGUCCCUUUUGGAGCUGUCUGGAGCUGGCUCUGAUCUGACAUGGGGCAGCUGCUGGCUCACAGAGGCGAUCCCUGCAACUCCCUCACCACCAAAACCUAACCAGAUGAAUUUUAAAGCCAAUCUUCAAUCCAAAGUUGUACUCACAUGCUUCAGAUGAGAUUCAUUUUGGACUUGUGGGCAGCAGAAAGUGACAUUAAUGAAGGAAACAUCAUUCAGAAAUCAAGAUGUUUUUUCUGCCAGGCAAUAUCCUCUGCUACCUUGCUGAUCAUCUCAUUCCUGCUACAGAAAAUGACAAUGUGGAGUUGAGGUGAGUCCAUAGUGAAAUGUUUUAUUUAUAUAUAAGCAAGAGCCUUGGAUCUCUUCAACUAGGUACCAGUGUUUGCAGUCUGUCUUUCCUAGACACCCUGCCAAAGGGAGGAAAGUUUCACCAGAAGACAAUGCCAUGCACCUAAGCUGAACUUUCCUUCUGAACUGCUCUAUGCACGUUACCUGCACCCAACAAAGCUGCUUCAAAGAAGUUUGUUUUUUUCUCAGAAUGGAAGUUCAAAGCCAAAUAGCCUCAAGAAUCAGUAGCCAGAUUCGGUAUUCCAAUAGCUGCUGUUGUAUUUUUUCCAUGCAAAAUAGCUUGAGAUAAAUCAAAAUAUUCUGAUGCAACUUUUUAAUUUCAUUGUAAUUGUAAAUUAAAAAGCUAGCUGCAAAUUAGUUUCUACAGUAUUGAAAUAAUUCACAAUUAUCAUUUCAGCUUUUCUGCUUCAUAAAACAUGCAUUUUCACAUGCUUUGCUAUGAUCAGUUACCUAAAAAUAUGGGAAUUCCUACAGAGCUGGAGUUCCGUUUUACAGCCUGCCUUAGAGCUGGCUCUUAAAAUGUGAAGGAUGAGAAAAAAUCUUUGCACAGAUCCCUCUCUUCAGAAGGCACUUCUUUGGGGAACCUUGUGUGAACAAAGCUAACACUGAUUAGGCAGUCCUGGGACGGAAAAGAAAAAUCAAAAAAACUUGCAUUACAGAAUCAUGGAACCACAGAAUGGCUGAGGUUGGCAGGGACCUCUGGAGGCCAUCUGGUCCAACCCCCUGCUCAAGCAGGGACACCCAGAGCAGGCUGCCCAGGACCACGUCCGGGUGGCAUUUGAAGAUCUCCAAGGAGGGAGACUCCACGACCUCUCUGGGCAGCCUGUGCCAGUGCUCAGUCACCCACCCAGCACAGAAGUGCUUCCUGGUGUUCAGAGGGAACCUCCUGUGUGCCAGUUUGUUCCCAUUGCCUCUUGUCCUGACACGAGGCACCGCUGAAUAGAGCCUGGCUCUAUCUUCCUUGCAUCCUCCCUUCAGGUAUUUACAUACAACGUAUAUUUUAUGUAUUUAUAAAAUCCUGGUUGCCAUAGUUCAACUGACUUUGGCUGGAGCAGUUCUGAACUUUGUGUGAGCAUAUGCAGUUCCUACCUCACAUCUAGCUUUGGAGAACUGAGCAUCCUCCACCAAGCACUAAGCACUACCUGCAGGGAUCCUCUUCAAGAAAAGUCGAAGGCAUCCCCUACCGUGCCAAACAGACUUGGACCUGCCUGGGACAGACUUCCACUUUCAGAAUUGAGAUAUUUCUCUGGAAAACGUAAGUAAUGUAGCAAAUCUUUUAAAUCUCUGUGAUUCAGAGGAUAAAUUCUACCCCCUGUGUGCAUUUGUGCAUUAGUAACUGCAUGGGCUUUCACAGUGUCUAGUGAAGGGGUAUUGUGUGGCACAGAACAUCUGCCACGCAGCACCCUGCAUCUCUCACUAGAGGCACACUGCUGUCUGGCGUCCCGUGCUUGCCAGGUCCAAGCCAAGGCACCUGGAGCUGCUGUAGGAGAUGAGAAUAAGGCCUUUACCUCUCACACCUCAGUGCUAACCACUUCUGGUAAACAACUGACCCAUACAGAUAGCCCAUUUCAGGAGUCACUGGAAAUAGGCAAUAACCCUCUUAACUAAGACUGAGGAGAAAAGAAAAUCCAGGCUUUACUGGUAGGAAAGGUGUAUAUCACAGAGCAUGGGGAGGGUGGCUUGUAAAUGAACAGCUGCCUUCUCAGAAAGUAUUAAAUUAUUGUGGAGGGCUGCUGGCAGCGCUGUGUACUGAGAUGGAUAAAAAUCAGAGUCAGAGCUGAGAUGUGUCAUAAGGAAUUUUAUUACAAGAUUUUUGGAUAUCAGUGUCAGAAUUUUGAUUGGCUUCUCAAUGGAAAAAAAAAAAGAAAAAACUUUAUUGAUGUAGAAUUAAUGUUGUUUUAAUUAGAAAUAAUGGUUUAAUUAAAAGUGAUGGCUAACUGUUCAUUGUAAAAGUGCCAUGAUUGUUAUACUCUAACAAAAUAUUUGUGCUUGAAAGUGGAUAAUACUAGAACAACACCUGCUUUUUACAAGGCACCUUUUAUCAGUAGAUCUCAUUAGUAUGACCCACUAUGAAUAGGAUAAUCUUAAAAAGCACUUGGAAAUGUUUAUUAAACAUUAAUGAGUUCUGUCCACAGCCCUUGCGGGGAAAAACAUGCUCUUAUAACAAUUUGCCAGUUGGAUAAACUAAGGCAGGUGGUUUAUGCAAAUUAUUAGAGGUCAACACAGAAAAAUAGCACCUCGUGCACCUCGAAUGCACUUGUCCUCAUCAACCAGCUUCUGCACUCUUUGCAUUUGUACUUUAUUGAAUUGAAUUUACACAGACUCUUCUAAAACGCUGCUGCCACAGCUGCAGGCAAGGUAGCAUCUGGAAAAAUAUGCAAUAAUACACUUAUUAGAUAUGAAUACAUUCAAAAUAUGAGGCAGGCAUCAUGGCUCUGUAAAAAGUCCAUCUUCAGAGCCACUGGAGUUUGGACGUAGGUUAUAAAGCGGAAAGAUGAAUUAACUGCUGAGAACAGAAACUUCCAUUCCAUAUCCACCUCCUUAUUUCAUCCCAUACUCCUCCUUUUGUUGUUUGUUUACAAAAAAAAUCAACAUAUUAAUGGAAAACAAUAGUCUGUCACCCAAGCUCAAAUGGGAGUGGGUUAGCGACAAUCCUCUGCGCAAUCUCUUACAUCUGGAAUCUGGUUAUAAAUCCGAGCCACUGGCGGUUAUCCCAUUUUACUGCUGUACAACAAUGUGGGUAGAAAGUCUUUUAAGACUUACUUUUUCAAUAAACAGUGAGAGGCAGAGCAUGGGGAUGCCUACGUGCGUGCCAAUCUGGAAGAAGCCCUCCCUGAGGAGCAGCUUGUCUGAGCACUGCUGCUUACAGCGGGGUUGGUGGUGGGGCUGCAGCACGGGACCCGCAUGGGGCUCUUCUGCAUGACCCCACGGCCCUGCUGACUGCUCCACACGCAUAUCGGCAGGCAGAUUGCUCAGUGGUUUGCAAAACCAUCCUGAUGAGGAUUUUCAAAGUCUCUUCCAAUCCAUAAAUUAUGUUUUCAGAGACGCUAUUUAAGUGGAGCUAACAAGCUGCAUUGCUAUCGGCCAGUCUGCAAAAAUGCUGAAGUGUUGUUUGACAAGCAGGAGUGGUGACAUUUCUGAAAGAUUGUCACAACAUUAGUUAUUUAAUAUUGUACAGAAGUCAAAGACUCUUCCCUGAGCAGGGAUAUUUCUAUCACAGAUUCAGCAUACUAAAUACUGAAUACUGACAGGAUUACUGGCAGCUAAAAGUGAGAACUAAGUGACAUUUUGGACACUACGGUAGGGGUCUACUAAGCAAACCUUGUUGAAGUUUUGUUGAAUAUUCAGAUACAGAUGCUAAGCCGAGAACAUAAGCAGCAAGUGAUUAAAAAGGUAAAUACUAUUCAAUUAUAGUUUCGGUAGUUAUGUUUUUCUGGUUAUUUUUAAAUCUACCUAAGGAGCAAAUAUUCAUGAUGUGAUUUUUAAAACACAGUUCAAUUAAACAUAAAUUGAUUGAUUUUAAUCUUCGAGGAGCUUUAGGUAAUUGUUUGAGAUAAUGAAAUGAACAUGUAAAAUACUUAGAGGUUUAUAGUCACUGCAGUCCUCUUCUCUGGGAAGCAAAAAUCUACAUUCUUGUCUAUGUGGGACAGAACAGCCUAAUAGGUUCACCACCCAAAAGGUUCAUCUGUUCUCUCCAAGUCUGUAUAGUAACUAUGUUUGUUUGUUUUUUUGGUUGGGAUUUUUUUUUUCAGAAGAUGUUAUGGUCCUUUAAGUAGUUGGACACGUGCUUAUUUUCUAGCCCCACUAUACAUUUACUACUUUUUACUCCGUGUGGUACUGCAGAACCACUGAGGCACCUUCAGGGACACAUAACUGCAUCUGCUGCUGGCAGCCCAGCAGCUGCACCGCCGUCCAUCAGCUCACAAAUGCAGAGCCCAUGCAGGAUCCAGGAAAAAGCUGACUUGUCCAUGCUGAUGAAAGUCAUCUAGGUUUUUAAGGCAAAUUGCAUCUUUGAACUUGAGAUUUGAUCACAUCAUGAAGGGUUAGCAAAUGUGGGAGCUAACACCGCAGUUUCUAUUCUCACUUUUCAGAGCAGGACUGCCAGUUUGUUUAUCUUCAGUCAGCCAAUUCUAGCUCUUUAAUUCAAAGGGAGAUCUUACAUGAUAUAGUCAUGUGUAACAAAGGAAGACAGACUGCCUUCAUGAUAGGUAAACCUGUUAGUUUACCUAUCAGAAUAGCAAUCGAAAUGAAUACUGUAGAUGAGCAGCCUCCAGAAAUAUCCUGAAGGCAUGACAAGGUUAUUUUUUCCUGGGCACAAUAUAAUUACAUAAUACCACUAUGAGAAAGACGAUUGUUGUAUUCAAAUUAUCCUGGCAGCUGUAGAUUUCCUACAAUAGCUUUAUUAAUGCAAUCAGAAAAUAAUGCUCCAAGUCAUCUUGAAAGCCCAUAGCCCAAUUCAGCCAUGGCUUUCAUCCCGUUGACAUCAAAAGAAUCAGUGAGUGAGUGUUGUCUGCUCCAUCAGUCUCACAGGAGCAGAAGGGAGAGACAAAAGAUAUAUGAGGUAUCCUGGAAGACACAAUGGCUUGUUUUUAGGACAAAGUCAGGCAACAUCCCUAAACCCCAUUGAUCACUCUUUACUUGACCCGAAACUUUGCAAAGCUGCAAACUCUUGGCUUCCAAAGCUGCAAACUCUUGGCUUCCACUAACCAAAGAACUCUUUUGCCACUGUUUUCUUUUUAAAAAGGGCGUCAGCUAGAAGUGAGCACAGGGACAUUAGGAAGUGAGAAUACCUCACCAAGCAACUCAGCUGAGAUGGAAAACACAAGUUUAACAGAGAUCAUAAAUGCAUAAAGCAUUUCAGACUAUGACACAAGGCCCAGACAAUCAUUUUGUUAUAGGUGGAAAAUCUUUGAUUCUUAUCAAGGAAGCAAAACUGGAACUGAGCAUGGUGUACAUCAACACAUUUUAAAUUCACAGUGUGGAGAGGAGGAAAUUUCUCCCCAUUUUCAUUUCUCUCCCCAUUCUUGCUAGCUUAGGUAGCUGACU